UACGUAGGUGGCGAGCGUUAUCCGGAAUUAUUGGGCGUAAAGAGCGCGCAGGUGGUUGAUUAAGUCUGAUGUGAAAGCCCACGGCUUAACCGUGGAGGGUCAUUGGAAACUGGUCAACUUGAGUGCAGAAGAGGGAAGUGGAAUUCCAUGUGUAGCGGUGAAAUGCGUAGAGAUAUGGAGGAACACCAGUGGCGAAGGCGGCUUCCUGGUCUGUAACUGACACAGAGGCGCGAAAGCGUGGGGAGCAAACA
rnacentral:rRNA from 1 species